GGGCACAUAGCUCAGUUGGUUAGAGCGCUACGUUCACAUCGUAGAAGUCGCCCGUUCGAAUCGGGCUGUGCCCA
rnacentral:tRNA from 1 species